UAAAAUGGGCUUCGGUGUGGUUUCCAAAAAAUUUAUCGUGGCAAGUCGAGCCCGACAAUUCCAAUUCCAAUUCCAAUUCAUCUUCAACUUCUCCAUUCUCUGUAAUCGCUCUAUCUUCCAUCUCUGUAACCCCCUAUUAAUCAAUGAUGCUUUUUAUACCUUCUGGUUGGUUUCAUUCCAACUUCCGUUCAUCCUCCUCCAAUAUAAAUGGCUUCGUCUAAUCCUAAAUCCUAUCAAGAUCGAAACCUAGCAGUAAGAGCGGCUGAAACCACUAAUCGUCGUAGAACUCCUUCUGAUCGAUGAGCAGGUAUGACAUUGACUUCCUCUUUUUAUUUUUUUACGAAUCAAUUCCACUGACCCAUCAACUUCCUAAAAAUUGCUAGAUUUCUGUUAGUUAAGAUCCAGUUCCACUGUGGUAACGAUUUAGUCCCUCUGAUUAAUUGUUGGUGUGGUAUUUUUUUAUUUUUUAAUAUGACGUUAGUAAAAUCACAUCUCACCCUUCACUUCAGUAGAGAGGUUUUAAUGAAGUUCACGAUAUUGAAGAGUUUGUCAAAGUUGGGAAAAGUGUUAGAGGCUGUCCAUAUUAUGCUGCCUGGUCAUUGGCGGAGAAUGCAGAACUGGUUUUUUUCCCUUAUUCAUACAUAGUUAAUCCUGUCAUUCGAGCAGGAGUUGAAGUAGAUCUGAAAGGAGCGAUUAUAAUAUUUGAUGAAGCACACAAUAUGGAAGACAUUGCUCGUGAAGCAGGAAGCGUUAACUUGGACGAAGAGACUCUUUUCAAAUUGCAGAGUGAACUGGAACAGAUGAGCGUGCCCCAGCCAAUGAUAUAUCAACCUUUAUAUGAAGUAGUAGAGGGAUUGAUAAGCUGGAUUGGAAGAAAAAAGGAUUCUCUAGAAAAACAUGAUUUUCAGCACUAUUUCUCUAGGAUGGCUUAUUUGCGUAGCUAAUGAGGGCUCUUUGAUGGUGUUAUAGUCUACGGGAAGUCUGGAAGCCCAGUUGAUCAUAUGAGUUGCUUUGGAGAUGUUGCAAGACGCUUUCAGGAAACCGAUCUAGAUGAAGCCACUAAAGGGAAACAAUACAUCCACUCUUGCCUUAGGUACUUCCAUAAUGAUUUCGAUGUUAGUUUUAUCUGAUCACUGAGGACGUUGCCUAUAUUUUUCUACCAAUGACCAAUUGUAGUGAUCUAUUAUCAGCUUAAAGUAUGUACUCUUUAAACUCUGCUUUGAUUCCAUUUCACUUUCCAUAUUUUGUUUGAGGAGGGAAAAUAUUGAUGGUCAGUCUCGCCAGAGUUUGAUUAUAUGAGACCGAGAUCAUUUAGGUUCUUUUUCCUAAAUUCAGAAGUUUUCCUCCAUUGUUUGAGAAUACACUCGUGAGCUGACCCUUGCAAGUAAGUUUCUCUUAUUGGCUCUAUUUUAUAUAUCGUGUGUUGUCAAGUUAAUAUUUUUUUGCUUUGCCUAUCAAUCACAUGUAAUUUUUCUCUUCUCAUGAAGACAUGGGAUUACAUACUUAAUUUUGGUCUACUUCUCUGAAGCUCACAAGUCCAGAAUUGUAUCAGGUUUUUCUCUCCUUUGGUAUCUAUGACUAACUAUCUGGAUAGGUCUCUAGACGACUUGAAACUGGUAGUUUGCUUAUUACUACUGUUUACUAGGUCAACUAGAAUUAUUAAAUUGCUGCUUUGUUUGUUAUGAUGCAUAUACGCAAGUAUCACGCUCAUUUACUGCAAAAGACGUUUGGAAUGAAGAUGAGGAUUGCAGCCUACUGGCCUAUCGUCUUGCAGAGAAUUGUUGACAGCAUCUCAAUGCAUCUUCACCUCUCUGUGAAUUAUCUGGUCAACAGUCGCUUUCAGACAGAGAUCAUAGCUGAAAUGGUGGAUUUUGGAGGUGGUGGAAGAGUUGAGAGGAUGCUGCGAGGUGAUGAGCAAGAGAAGGAGAUAAUGAAGAGCCGUAUCGGUCUCUUGAAGGAUAGUGUUGAGGUCGUUUAGCCAUUCCUCUUGGUUAAAACAAAAUUGGCUUCGGUUUUCGUAAAGUUUGUGUUAUGAGUGGCUUCGGUUUGAUUGGUUUUCUGAUGUCUUUUUUUUCCUUUAUUUUAGGAAGUGAUUGCGUUAUCAAUCUUUGCAAGGAGAUAACAAUGAUUCAAACACGAUGGUAUAGUUUACGUGCAAUAAUUGAAGUUCUCAUUAUUGUAAGAA